AUAUACGUUCUUACAACCAUUUACAAUAUUUUACAAUACCAUGAAGUAAAUUUUGUCAAUAUUGAACAGCAUUAGUUAUAUCAGCAUAAGCAAUCGCUUGGCAUGCACGUUAAGUAUAGUAUUGCCUACAUUGAUUGCGAACCAUGUAGAAGCAGCCUGAGCGCUGCAUUAGCAGGUAGAACCAGAACACGCAACAGCACCACAUUUAACUUUGAAACGUGUGGCGCAUGCAUGAAAUUAUAGCCUUUUGAAAUGUAAUCACAUCAGGUAUCGCAAUCUAUGUUUUCCCGUCCACAAAAUGUAGGAAGCACUGAAAGAGCUUAAAAAGGAAACUUAGCUUUGCUUUGUGAAGACGCUGAGAUUUAUGGAGGGUGAAAUACAGCCAGCUGUGACAUGGAUUCUUUAUCUCCUUCUUGAUAUCCUUCCCCUUUGUGUGAUGAGUGCAGAUCUCAUCUGAACAUGUUUCAGGUCACUUCCAAAUCAAGCAUCUUAUAAUCAAUGUGGUGAAUUAGUGUGUUUGUUCAAGAACUUGAACAUGAAGUGAAAUCUGUGUCAAUUCGCUAAAUUCCAGAUUACACAAUUCAUAGUGGUCUUGCCCACUGAAUGUGGUGAUAGGCAUCAUAUUCCUAUAGGUCAAUGUGAAUCAGCUGAGUGUCAGCUGAUGCGAGCUUGACUAACGUGACCUGUCUCUCAGAAGUAAAGAUGGGCAGAGGCUCUCCAAUCUGUGAAAGAGUGCGUAAAAACUUUAAAAACAAUGUUCCUCAAUGUCAAAUUGCAAAGGCUUUGCAAAUCUCCUCAUCUACAGUGCAUCAUGAAAGAGCCUUUUCAUCCCUCACAGAAGGAAUCAAAUUAAAAAUCAGAAGUUUCAGAAAUAUGCUGACAUAAAAUCAGUAAUUAAAAUAUUUAGACAUUAACGUUCACCCCCAAACACAUCACAUCUUAUAAACGUGUGCAGUAAUUCGCUGUUUAAUUAGCUCCUGAGUAAUGUGAUAAAACUGCUAAUAAUACUGAAUGGACUAUAUAUAUACGAAUGUGGUGAUAGGCAUCAUAUUCCUAUAGGUCAAUGUGAAUCAGCUGAGUGUCAGCUGAUGCAAGCUUGACUAACGUGACCUGCCAGAACUAACGCUAUACGCUUGAUAUGUCUUAGAGAGGCAGAGUCUCUCAGAAGUAAAGAUGGGCAGAGGCUCUCCAAUCUGUGAAAGAGUGUGUAAAAACUUAAAAACAAUGUUCCUCAACGUCAAAUUGCAAAGGCUUUGCAAAUCUCCUCAUCUACAGUGCAUAACAUCAUCAAAAGAUUCAGAGAAACUGGAGAAAUCUCUGUGUGUAAGGGACAAGGCCGAAGACCUUUAUUGGAUGGUCUUCGGGCCCUCAGAUGACACUGCAUCAUUAAUCGGCAUGAUUGUGUCAAUGACAUUACUAAAUGGGCCCAGGAAUACUUCCAGAAACCACUGUCGGUAAACACAAUCUGCCGUGCCAUCUGCAGAUGCCAACUAAAACUCUAUCAUGCAAAAAGGAAGCCAUAUGUGAACAUGGUCCAGAAGCGCUGUCGUGUCCUGUGGGCCAAGGCUCAUUGAAAAUGGACUGUUUCAAAGUGGAAAAGUGUUCUAUGGUCAGAUGAGUCCAAAUUUGACAUUCUUGUUGGAAAUCAUGGACACCGCAAGGCUCUCAAGUCUCACGCAUUGGGCGUAAGACACGCAUUUCAACCCGUUCACACGCUCACACGCCACACCUUGUAUUUCUCAUGCAGAGAAAUCUCCAGGAUAAUGCACAACAAGUUGCGCCGCUAUUAGAGGAAUCAAGCGAGUUCCCCAUAGAGUUCAGAAGGCCCUGCCACGCACCAGUUAAUCUAAUAAAAAAAAAAUAUAGCUAUCGAACAGCCAAUCAGAAAAUAGAAUUGCUGUAUCUGGGUAAGAUUUAGAUAUUCCCGCCACAACAACGUUUACGUUCUGAUUCCAACGACACAUUCUGUAAUUCAUGGGCUCGCUCACUGAUUCAGAUGUAGUUAGCUACAGAAGAGGACAUCUGUCAGUCACAUUGAUUCACAUCUGGCUACAGACUGAUCGUGAUCGACGUGGGACCAUAUCCUAUGAGUACAGUAAGUCAUCUCAUUAAAUUGCUGGGGAAUAUUUGUGUCCAGGCAGCUGGUAGGUUAGUUAACAGUUUGACCAGAGUACGUUACGUGAACUAGCCUAGCUAGUAGGGAUGGGCAUUUUUCCAAAAUAUUGUAUAUGAAUAUUUGGGCUAAUACAAAAACACGAAUAUUUGUGUAUUUAAAUGACGUUAUUUUGAGAAAAUGAAAGAGACGUUUUUUAAUUUUUUUUUUUUUAUUCAAGUUGUCGUCACCAUUUCUGAACAAACUUAUGAUUAGGUAAUAUACACAACAAGCUUACGUUUUAUCUUAAGGUUUUCAUUCAGUUUAAAACAUUAAACAAUAUGUGUAAACAAAAAAUAUAGACCUAAAGAACAAAAGCAUUAUAAGCUCAAGCAGCGAGUGGGAAAAAACACUAGUAAAGCAGAGCACGCCAGUUAUCGUGCAGAACGUAACGUACAUAUAACGUACACUAGAGUCGGAAUAUGGUUACCAUGUUUAUAUUGUUUCACAUUAUAAUGCUGAGGAAAAACAACAAUAUAAUGUGUAUGAUUAUAUUCUCAGGUGAGAAAACAAGCCCCGCUGACAGACGUUGCAGAGACACAAAGAUAACGGUGUUAAGUGAAGUUUCUAACAGCACUUUGUGUUUUCUGUUCUUAAACCCUCGACAAAACUUAAAGGAAGCAUUUGUCUCGAUCAUGAUUUGCAUGAAAUGCAUUUUGCUAUCAUAUACGUUAUCUUGUUCUCACUCGGUGAACAUCUGUGCUUAACGUUACCUGCACUCGCGAAUGCAGUGAUGGACAGCUGUCCUCAUUUGACUGGUGUUUGGAUUAGAUGUGAUUUCUCAAACUCAGUUUCAUUAAUUAAUUUUAUCAAAAGUAACUCCAUUUUGUAAGAUCAUUUUCAUCUAAGUAAUUCCAAACAUCGCGAGGCAGACGACGACAUUAAGUGAUCAAAUGCACUCAACUUAUUAACACAACACACUCCACACCACCACCCAGUGGAUUUAGUUAUAACUGCGAGUUUUAAUGGGAUUUAUCAUGGAUUUACUGCAUUUACGGCCAGCAAAGCAAUAUAGUAAAAUUUGAAUUUUAUUUUUCGAAUAUUAAUUACAGAUCGAAUAUUUGUGCACACCCCUACUAGCUAGCCGGUUGAAUCCCUGCUUAUUUCAGCAGCUAUUCUGACGCUUGUGUAGUAUUAGUUCUGUUUCAGAAGGAAAUAAAAGGAUAGAAAAAAAACUAAAAAUAUUCCAAAUUAUUAUGGAAUAUUAAUUUUCCAUUUGCCUCUUCCCUGACAUCAUUUUCAAUGAAAACCUUUGGCCUAGGCUAUUUCAUUGUAUUUUAUCCAGACAAUGCAGUAUUAAUUAUUGCAUUUGUCUAUUUCAAAGAUGUCAGGGAAGAGGCAAAUGAGCAUUCUUUCAUGCUUCGCUCUGAAGGAUCAGCUCCCUAAAAAGGUAGCCAGGUCAGAGGAGGAGACUGUGGAGAAGACAGUAGUGGAGGCAGUAGAUGAGUCAGUGGAGGACACUGUGGAGGAGACAGCUAGGGUGUCAGUAGAGGAUGAGUCCGUGGAAGAGACUGUGGAGGACACCAUAGAGGAGACAGUGCAGAACCCACUGGAAACAGGGAAAAAGAGAGGAUUAAGUGGAGCAGCCACCUAUAGGUGUUUCUUUAAGAAGGAGUGGUCAACCCGAUGGCCAUUCAUCACAAUGGGAACCACCAGCUCCUUCUACUGGUGCUCAGUCUGCAGACAAGAGAACUCCUGUGCCCAUCAAGGCGUGAGGGACAUAAGCAGACAUGUGGAAGGCAAGGGACAUCGAGCAAAAGAACAGGCUUUAAAAUCAGCCAUGUUGCACAGUUCUACACGCCGGCAACUUCUGUUGGAGGCAUGAGUGUACAAGAGGCCAAGGUAAAUAGCACAGGAAAACCAAAAGGCUGGUGUCAAUAUUUGAUGAAUUGCAAAUUGUUGGUUAUAUUACCAAGAAAACUUAUCUAAUGUUUUAUGAGUUAUUUAAUCAAUUGUUUCUGUUGCAGACCAGGAGGGCUGAGGUGAAGGUUGCCGUUGCAAUGGUGCAGCACAAUGUUCCAUUUGCCGUUGUUGACCAUUUCAGCCCCUUGUACGAAGAAUGUUUUCGAGACUCCCCCACAGUUCAGAGCUUUAAGAGCACAAGCACCAAAACAACAUGCAUCAUAAAUGAAGCAGUGGCACCUCAUUUCAAGAAAGAACUGGUGAUGAAGAUGAGAGAGAAUCCCUUCACACUUGUCACAGAUGGCUCAAAUGAUACUGGUCUAGAGAAGAUGAAUCCCCUCACAGUAAGAAUAUUUGACACCAACAAAGUUGUGCACAGAUUCCUUGAUAUGUGCACCACCAGUGGGCAGAGCUGUGGAACUGCUGAAGUGAUUUAUAAAAAAAUCAAUGACCCCUUGCAGGAAAGUAACAUCCCUUGGAGAAAUUGUGUAGGUCUCUCUAUUGACAAUGCUCCUGUCAAUACAGGAGCCAAAAAUUCAAUUGCAGCCAGAAUGCUGAGGGGAAAAUUGCAGCAUUUACAUACAUGGAUGCCCCUGUCAUAUUAUCCACAACACUGCCAAACAUGCGGGGCAGAAGUUUUUGGAAAAUUUUGACUUUCAUGACAGCGAGUACAUGGAAAUGCUGCUGCACGUUUCAGUGCGAUGGUUAAGCCUGGAGAGGUGUAUUACACGAAUUCUGCGGCAGUAUGGGCCACUUACCAGCUAUUUUAAUUCUUUAAAUGAGAAACAACCAAGGUUUAGGAGGCUGGUGGAUGAUUUUUCCAAGCCCCUGACUGAAGUCUACCUCCUCUUCUUUCAAGCAAUGCUGCCAAUGUUCUCCACACUGAACCUCCUCCUCCAGAGAGAAAGGUCUUCCAUCUUCCAGCUCCAUGGAGAGAUGACAAAGUUCAUCAUGAAACUGUGUGCGAGGUUCAUGAUGCCGUUAGCACUACAGGGCCGACAAGUCCAGGACAUCCCCUACAAGGACCCAGUAAACCAACUGCCAGGAGAAAAACCACCAGAGCUACCCUCAACAGGCUCCUUGAGACUGGACACAUCACACCUCAGGAGGUGCAACUAUUUCAGCAGGCAGCACUGGCGUUUCUGUUCAGGCCUGUGGAGUAUGGGAUGAACAAACUCCCCCUGAAGGAGGCCCUUCUGAAGCAUGCCAAAUUCGUUGACGUGCAACAGAGGACUGAGUGUGGGGUGGAAGAUGCUCUAUACUUUGU